ACGGUCCACAAAGGGGCUAAUGAAGACCUGGAAGCUCUUGUGGACUUCUGAUGAGUAAUACUGCAUCUGGCAAACCUACAGCAUUGUGUGACUGCAGUUCCCAGAGAUCGUACAGGACUCAAAAGCAACAUUGUGGUGACUGUGAACUGGAAGCAAACUCAGUAAUCUGAAUGGCAACCACCAUUUCUGGAAACCGGAAAGUUGCUGCAGUGCUGACUGAAGAGGUUGCUGUCCCCCAUAUGCCAUGACUGCCAGCUUUGCCCCACCAGCCCAAGGGAUCAGCAUGCAGAAGAAUGGGAGACAACCUCUCUCC